rnacentral:rRNA from 1 species
GACGUAGGGGGCAAGCGUUGUCCGGAAUCAUUGGGCGUAAAGCGCUCGUAGGUGGAUCGGUAAGUCUGCAAAGAAAGACCCGGGCUCAACUCGGGGAACGGUGUGGAUACUACCGAUCUUGAGGCAAUCAGAGGAUGAUGGAAUUCCCGGUGUAGCGGUGAAAUGCGUAGAUAUCGAGGAGACACCAGUGGCGAAGGCGGCUUUCUAGGAUAUACCUGACACUGAGAAGCGACAGCUAGGGGAGCAAACAGG